rnacentral:lncRNA from 1 species
GGCCAUGGUGGGUGCUCCUGAGCCUGGAAAAGAAGAGGAGGAGAGAGCCUUGUCUUCCAAAGGGGGAAAUGCACCAUGUGGAGUACUGGGGACCUGCUCAGUUUUCCAGCCAGAGAUCACCAAACUUUGCUGUGCUUCCCAAACUCCAGAUCCUAAAAAUCCCUUGGGACCUUGCACCUUGAUCCUCUGCACCCAGAACUGUGUCUCCCAGCCGUGCUCCAGAGAUUUCUGUCCUCCAACUACUCUUGGAUGCUUCUCAGCUUGUGUCUACCCCUCAGCAUCCUGGAGCUCAGCCACCAUGCUUUCUCCUAGUCCAGCCUGGCCUCCUGCACAAGUGUACUGGCCCCAACUUUACCAAGCCAGCCUCAUCCUCCUUCAAGACACAGCAAGAUUUGCAGGGGUGCUCAGCUGCUGGCCUCAGCUUCCUGUCCAGACACCAUGGAGUGACACCCAGAGAUCCCCUAGACCUGCAUCCUGAGACUUCAGGAGAAACAGGGCCUUGUGGACCAAUUUGUGCUGAGUAUUCCCUGACCCCCGAGCAGGAGCAGUAAUCUCAGAGGAACUUGAUUUUCACCUGUGGCCACAAGGACCUCUCACCUCGAAGAAAUAGUCCAGGGAAAACCACCAACCAGGCCAGAG